UUUGUUUAGAGGGAAAACUACUUUUUGAGGGAGAAACACCUGAGGAAUCCAUCCCACUUCCACACAGAAACAGACUCAUCGCUGCCUUUCUCGCCAUCAACCCCUUGGAGCGAGCGAAUGGGGACAUUUUGUUGCUCAGCAGAGGGCAGCCGACCUACCAGAAUGAAACCCGGAGUUUGUGUCUCUUCCCGUGAAGACGUUACACAACCUGCAACCUUCAGCGACGGAAUAAACCCGUUACCGAGCCAACCGCUUCUUCCAUCGCCAUUCAUUGAAUCACAGGGAGACGAUAUUCUUUUAAAAUGAUUAACGUCCUUUUUAACAUCGGCUAUUCGUGGGUAUUUAUUUAUUUAUUAUAUUAUUAAUUCUGUAACUUUACGUGUGUUAAUGAUCGUGCAUACUUGUGUCCAGCGGAGUCUAGCCGAUUGCCAUGGCGACAGCCAACGGGCUGGUGGGGGUCCUUUAAACAAGCAGACCUUUCCUCCUCAUCGUCACUUCCUCUGACGAAGUCGAGCAUCGGGUCACAAAACAAGUCACCGUCCGCGUCCCAUUUCAAUGUUUUAUUAGAUAAACCAAAAUAAUUUGGGAGUUGUUUUUUUUUUAUACAAGUCAAACAAGGAAGUACAGCGAGAAGAGAGCACAGGCUAAAAGGAACCUACGACAGGCAGAUCAAUUCAACUCAGUGAUUAAACAUUAACGAAUCAGCAUUUUUUGGUAGUAUUUCAGCGAGCGGGUCACAGCCGCCCCCCCCCUCUUCAUCUCCAGGUUCCUCCAGAGCUUUGGCAGCGUUAGAUGGUGUCUCGGGUUAAGAGGUGCUCUCGCUCUCAUCAAUAAAAUAUAUUCAGUGGAAACAACUCAACAACUACUGAGACAAAAAAAACAACAACAAAAAAAAAAGAAUAGGCAGUCUUCAAAUUCACCAGAAACAUCAACACGACAUGAUAGAGUUCAUUCAAAUAAAAUGUCUUUACAUUUAGAAAUAAAAAAAGACAUUGGCAUAACCCUUUAAAACAGAGCAUUUUAAUAUCCAGCCGUGAUCAAAUACAGUUUUAUACCACAUUGGAUAUCCAUGGUUGCACUAGCGUAACAGUAAAGCAGGGAGUUAUCUUACAAAACUGCUUUAUUCCAUGUAGAGCGGCUUUAUUCCAUGUAGAGCGGCUUUAUUUCAAUAUCGAGUAGACAAUUCAAUCUGUCGCACGUCAGCCAAAAGGUCGCUGUGACUUUC